rnacentral:rRNA from 1 species
UCCGUAGGCGGUGUGGCAAGUCGGUAGUGAAAUCUCUCGGCUUAACUGAGAGGCUGCUGCCGAAACUGCCAUGCCCGAGUGCGAGAGAGGCGAGUGGAAUUGCGGGUGUAGCGGUGAAAUGCGUAGAUAUCCGCAGGAACAUCCGAGGCGAAAGCGGCUCGCUGGAUCGCAACUGACGCUGAGGGACGAAAGCUAGGGGAGCAAACAGGAUUAGAUACCCUGGUAGUCCUAGCCCUAAACCAUCAGGACUUGGGGUUUGCCCUGUACGGGGCAAGUCCCGGAGCUAACGCGUUAAGUCCUGCGCCUGGGGAGUACGGUCGCAAGGCUGAA